GACGAACGCUGGCGGCGUGCUUAACACAUGCAAGUCGAACGGAAAGGCCCUGCUUUUGUGGGGUGCUCGAGUGGCGAACGGGUGAGUAACACGUGAGUAACCUGCCCUUGACUUUGGGAUAACUUCAGGAAACUGGGGCUAAUACCGGAUAGGAGCUCCUGCUGCAUGGUGGGGGUUGGAAAGUUUCGGCGGUUGGGGAUGGACUCGCGGCUUAUCAGCUUGUUGGUGGGGUAGUGGCUUACCAAGGCUUUGACGGGUAGCCGGCCUGAGGGUGACCGGCCACAUUGGGACUGAGAUACGGCCCAGACUCCUACGGGAGGCAGCAGUGGGGAAUUUUGCACAAUGGGCGGAAGCCUGAUGCAGCAACGCCGCGUGCGGGAUGACGGCCUUCGGGUUGUAAACCGCUUUCGCCUGUGACGAAGCGUGAGUGACGGUAAUGAGUAAAGAAGCACCGGCUAACUACGUG
rnacentral:rRNA from 1 species